CCCUGGGAGGGCCCCAAGUUUGCGCCAUGCCCUGCAUUAAACACUUUUUUUUUUUUGCGGGCAAUGUUCCAGUAGCAUUCUCUCCCGACAUUUCGCCUGCAUCUGUGGCCUAAUGGCAUCUUCAGAAGGCCUUGUGAAGUCUGUUGGAAACUAACUAGGCAAGUGGGGUGCAUAUAUAUCUGUAGAAUAAUGUCCAGAGUGAGAGACAGAAAAAAACUCUGCCUGUUUGAGAAAAAGUGUGAAUAUUGCAGUUAGCAAGCUUGAUUAGCAUUGCAGCUUCAAAACCUGGCUGUUGUUGCCUGGAGGCUCCCUCUGUUUGGGAGGUGUUAACUGGCCCUUGAUUGGGUUGCUGUGAGUUUUCUGGGCUGUAUGGCCAUGUUCCAGAAACAUUCACCUGCUUGUGUGGGAGGCAUCUUCAGAGGUUGUGAGGUCUGUUGGAAACUAACUAGGCAAGUGGGGUGCAUAUAUAACUGUGGAAUGAUGUCCAGGGGGGAAAACUUUACCUUUACCUUUGUGGUGUGAAAGGGACUGUACGUACAUUCAUAUUGUUUUCUUGUAAUAAUAAAUUUUUAUUAGUAACCCGGCUCGAGACAGGGCACAUUAUCAUUAUCAUAAUAAAGCACAUUCCAUAUAAUUGUACACGUGAAAAUAUAUUUUUACAAAAUACACCUAUGAAAAUAGAUGGAACAAAGAUUAAUAAUAGUAAUUCAGUAUAGUCUUGCUUAUCCGAUAUAAACGGGCUGGCAGAACGUUGGAUAAGUGAAAAUGUUGGAUAAUAAGGAGGGAUUAAGGAAAAUCCCUCCUUAUUAAACAUCAAAUUACGUUAUGGUUUUACAAAUUAAUCACCAAAAAAUCAUGUUUUACAACAAAUUGACAGAAAAAGCAAUUCAAUAGACAGUAAGGUUAUGUAGAAGUUACUGUAUUUACAAAUUUUGCACCAAUAUAUUGAAAACAUAGACUACAAAAACACUGACUACUAAAAGGCAGACUGCGUUGGAUAAUCCAGAACGUUGGGCAAGCCAAGGUUGGAUAAUCGAGAGACUACUGUAAUAAUGAUAAUACUGUAAUAAAUUAUAUUUCUUACUCGCCUCUCCUCGAAGCGAGUUAUAGAAUAAUUAAAGCCCAUAAAUAAAAAUACUACAAAUACACAUAUUAAACCGUAUUUCUAUAAAAGACAUGUUAAAGUAUACAAAGGCAAGAAGCAUUGGAUGUAAAUUUGAAAUUUACAAUUUAAUGCUGAACUGCUUUCCAGGCCCUUCAAAGAACCAGUGAAGUUUGAGCGGCCCCAUCUGCACUGCCAUUAUAAUGCGGAUUAAACUGCAUUGUAUGGUCAGUGUAGACUACUGCUAUAAUGCUGUUUGA
rnacentral:lncRNA from 1 species